GACGAACGCUGGCGGCGUGGAUUAGGCAUGCAAGUCGAACGGUAUCAUCCUUUCGGGGGUGAGAGAGUGGCGAACUGGUGAGUAACACGUAGGUUAUCUACCCUCAAGACGGGGACAACCCAGGGAAACUUGGGCUAAUACCGGAUGUGAGCAACUUUUAGUUGUUUGAAAGGUGGCGUAAGCUGUCGCUUGGGGAUGAGCCUGCGUCCUAUUAGUUAGUUGGUGAGGUAACGGCUCACCUAGGCAAUGAUAGGUAGGCGGCCUUAACGGGUGGUCGCCCACACUGGGAUUGAGAUACGGCCCAGACUCCUACGGGAGGCAGCAGUCGAGAAUAGUCUACAAUGGUCGGAAGACUGAUAGUGCGACGCCGCGUGAACGAUGAAUCCCUUCGGGGUGUAAAGUUCUUUUAUAUGUGAGCAGUGCUUCUUAUAUUAACAGUAUGGGGAGAGAGAUAUUAGCAUAUGAAUAAGCAACGGCUAACUCCGUGCCAGCAGCCGCGGUAAUCUCG
rnacentral:rRNA from 1 species